rnacentral:ribozyme from 1 species
AGAGAAAGAAAGAAAAAGAGAAUCGGAGAAAGAGAAGAAAAAAAUGGACAGGGGAAUCUUUUUUCCUUCUCCUUCUCCGGCUCCUUCUCCUUCCCCUAUAACUGAUCCUUUUUGUGAUUAUUAUU